GGCCUGGGGAUAUAGCCUGUACAGAUGCAAGUCGAGUAUUUUUAAGGAUUGCUGAGAUACCCACCUCCACAGCUUCGGAUAUGGGUGAGACGCUAUUGGUCUUCCUGGAGCCCACGCGGAACUUGGCAGCCUUGUAGAUCUUCCAGUACACGAAGAGCACCACACAGAGCGGCAGGUAGAAGGCGCCUACGGUGGAGAACACGGCGUAGGAAGGCUCGCGGCUUACCUGGCACUCCUCGCUGCCCUCAGAGUACGUCUCUCCCCAGCCAAAAAGCAGCGGGGCCAGAGAGAUGACAGCGGAGAGUGCCCAGGUGAGCGCGAUCAUGACGUUGGAGACGCACUUGCGGGUGCGGAGCGUGUAUUCCAUGUGGCGCGUGAUGGACCAGUAGCGGUCCAGGGCUAUGGCCGUCACGUUCCAGAUGCUGGCCGUGCAGCAAAGCACGUCGCACGCGAUCCAAAGCUGGCACAGCCUCCGACCUAGCUGCCAGCGGCGCCCGGACAGCUCGUGCACCAGGCUCAGCGGCAUGACCAGCGCGGCCACCAGGACAUCCGAGACGGCCAUGGAUGCCACCAGGUUGUGGGGCACGCGGUGGAAGGUGCGUACACGGAGGAUGGUCGCCAGCACCAGCAGGUUCCAGGCGAACGUCGCCGCCACCAGAAAGCCCAGCAAGGCAGCCGGCUGCAGCCUUAACUCCGUGCUAGGGAAGCCAGUUUUGGGGGAACCUGCUUUCUGGGACCUGCCUUCUGUCCCUGUUGCCCCCGCCACCCCUUCGGAGGCUGCAGCUCCGGAGAGCGAAUGCUGGCGCGCCCACCGAGACCUGCCUUAUCCAAGUGGAGAUCUAGCCCUACAGUAAAACAAGUAUCAGGAGAAUGCACUGAGAAAAGAGAAAGUCCUCCACUGGAACCUAGAGGACGGGACAACAUCAUUAAAUACCGGAUUAUUCACAGGGCUGUUUCAAACACCACUUAAAAACAGCUGAUGGUGACUGCCUGCAUGCAGAGCAACUGUGCAUGGCCCCAAUCUGGAAGCAAGCUUGUGCUUCUUUAAGGCAAAUCACCUUCUUGAGGUCAUGGAACUAAUGGGAAUGAGAUGUAAACUAUGAAUCCUCUUCUUUGGAAAAAGUUCUGCAUCUAGUCUCAGGGCCUGUUAUCUGGAGGAAUGGAUGAACUGUGUUGCCCACAGGCGGGCCUCAAUGGAUCUCUAUGAAUCUUGAAAGGCAUUAUGGGCUUGUGAUUAUAUUCCCUACUGAUUCCCCAGGCCACAGCUGUCUGUAUUGAUAGCUAAGUGAGCAGCAGAAUAGUUAAUAAGGACAAAGCCAAGGAUGACUGAGGAUAAUUUGUGAAAAAUAGAGUGUCAUAAAUUUAGGGACUGAAUAGAAUAUUCCCACAAAGGAGAGAUCCAAUGGAGCAUUUCCAGAAGGGACAAACCCUGUUCAGAAAGUCUGGCUUAUCUCUUAAAAAUACACAAAUAAAAAAUCAUAAUAUUUCAGCUUCAUCUUAAAGCAUAGCCCCAAUUUUAUCUUGAAAAACACUGAAAAGGAAAAGAAUCUGAAAAGGUAUAAAACUCCCGUCUGCCAUAUGGUACCUCUGAAAUGGCAGUAUUGGGAAAUAUACCUUCCUGGGUUGUCACCUCUUAUGGGUUAAACUGUGUCUCUCCUUCCCCCCUCCCUUACCCCCUGCCAGAUUUAUAUAUGGAAGUCCUAACCCCUAGAACCUCAUAGUGUGACUAUAUUUAGAAAUAAGAUCUUUAAAGGGAUGAUUAAGUUAAAAUGAGGCCAUAGGAUAGGGCCUCAUUCAAUCUGACUGACAUCCUUAUGAAAAGAGGAAAUUUAGACAUGCAAAGAGACACCAAGGAUGUGUGUGUGCAUAGGAUAGACCACGUGAGAAUAAAGCAAGAAGGUGGCCAUCUACAAGCCAAGGAGAGAGACAUUAGAAGAUACCAGUAUUGGAAGAUUAGAAGAUAUCAAGAUUGGAUUUCCAGCUGCCAGAACUAGGAAAAAAUAAAUUUCUAGUAUGAGCCACUCAGUCUGUGGUAUUUUGUUAUGGCAGCCCUAGCAAGCUAAUAUACCAUCCGACAAAAGAUACUAGCAAAAGAUACAACCACAUAACUGAACGAGGUGCUAUACUGGAGAAGAGGGAAUUAUAGACAUAUAAACAAAUCAUGGGACAUCUACUAAAACCUUUCCAAAAGGUAGUUUGCAGCCAUCUAGCAAUCAUUCGAGUGCAGACUCAGUUGUCUAUUGAGGUUACUUACGGUUUGUAAUCAAGUCAUGUCACUGGCUUAUAGAAAAAUACUUAUUUUAGAUUUUUCUAUAAUGGGAAGGUAUGAAUCUAUUUCAUUCAAGUAGGAGCUGAUUUUUUGGUUUGUUUUUGCUUCUGUUUUUUGAGACAGAGUCUCACUCUGUCAUCCAGGCUGGAGUGCAGUGGCACAAUCUUGGCUCACUGCAACUUCCAUCUUCCGGGUUCAAGCGAUUCCCAGCUAAGUUUUUUGUAUUUGUAGUAGAGAUGGGGAUUUUACCAUGUUGUCCAGGCUGGUCUCGAACUCCUGACCUCAAUUGAUCCAUCCCCAUCAGCCUCCCAAAUUGUUGGAAUUACAGGCCUAAGCCACCACACCCGGCCAAGACCAACGAAUUUUAAUGUAACAGCAUAAUAAACAUGCAUGAUACAAUUUCAGAUUCCACAUCACAACAAAUCUUUAAGGUGCUACCACUCAUUGAGUUUUAAUAUAGCAUCACAGAAAAAAUAUCCAUAAUUAUCUGAAAAUAGUAUUAAAGUACUCUAUUGUCUGCUGUAUAUCUGUAUGAAAGUGGAUGUUCUUCACAAUCUUAAACUAAAAUAACAUAUCCCAACAGAUGGAAUGUAGAAACAUAUGAUGUUCUAGCUGUCUUGAAGAGAUUUGCAAAAAUGUUAAUGCUAUUCAGAAAUAUUUUAUGAAAAAUAAUUAUUUUUCAUAAUGAGGUAUCACUUAUAUAGACAUGUAAUGGGUUUAUUUUAUUUUUAAUAAACAAA
rnacentral:lncRNA from 1 species